UACGUAGGGGGCAAGCGUUGUCCGGAAUCAUUGGGCGUAAAGAGCGUGUAGGCGGCCUGAUAAGUCGGCUGUGAAAGUCAAGGGCUCAACCCUUGAAUGCCGGCCGAUACUGUCAGGCUAGAGUCCGGAAGAGGCGAGUGGAAUUCCUGGUGUAGCGGUGAAAUGCGCAGAUAUCAGGAAGAACACCCGUGGCGAAGGCGGCUCUCUGGAACGCAACUGACGCUGAGACGCGAAAGCGUGGGGAGCAAACAGG
rnacentral:rRNA from 1 species